UACGUAGGUGGCGAGCGUUAUCCGGAAUUACUGGGCGUAAAGCGUGCGCAGGCGGUUUUGUAAGACAGAUGUGAAAUCCCCGGGCUUAACCUGGGACCUGCAUUUGUGACUGCAAGGCUAGAGUACGGUAGAGGGGGAUGGAAUUCCGCGUGUAGCAGUGAAAUGCGUAGAUAUGCGGAGGAACACCGAUGGCGAAGGCAAUCCCCUGGACCUGUACUGACGCUCAUGCACGAAAGCGUGGGGAGCAAACAGG
rnacentral:rRNA from 1 species